GGCGCCCGACCUCCCAACCCUUUUGUCGAACUUACCUUUGUUGCCUCGGGGCCCGCCCUCGCGGGCGGCCCCAGAGGACCAACCAAUGAAACCCUGCGUCCCUGCGUCGGAGUACCUUUGAUAAAUCAAUCAAAACUUUCAACAACGGAUCUCUUGGUUCUGGCAUCGAUGAAGAACGCAGCGAAAUGCGAUAAGUAAUGUGAAUUGCAGAAUUCAGUGAAUCAUCGAAUCUUUGAACGCACAUUGCGCCCCUUGGUAUUCCGGGGGGCAUGCCCGUUCGAGCGUCAUUACACCACUCAAGCCUCGCUUGGCCUUGGGCGGCGGGCUCCGCGCCCGCGCCUUCAAAUCUGCCGGCUGGACGGUUGGAAUCUCAGCGUUGUGAAACAAAUUCGCUCGGAUCUCCGGCCGGACGCGCCGUUCAAAUUUCCAUUCAGGUUGACCUCGGAUCGGGUAGGGAUACCCGCUGAACUUAAGCAUAUCAAUAAGCGGAGGAAAAGAAACCAACAGGGAUUGCCCUAGUAACGGCGAGUGAAGCGGCAACAGCUCAAAUUUGAAAUCUGCCGCAAGGCCGAGUUGUAAUUUGUAGAGGAUGUUUCUGGGUUGCGGCCGGUCUAAGUUCCUUGGAACAGGACGUCACAGAGGGUGAGAAUCCCGUAUGUGACCGGCGAGCGCCCUCCACGAAACUCCUUCGACGAGUCGAGUUGUUUGGGAAUGCAGCUCUAAAUGGGAGGUAAAUGUCUUCUAAAGCUAAAUACCGGCCAGAGACCGAUAGCGCACAAGUAGAGUGAUCGAAAGAUGAAAAGCACUUUGGAAAGAGAGUUAAAAAGCACGUGAAAUUGUUGAAAGGGAAGCGCUUGCUACCAGACUUGUCGGCGGUGUUCCGCCGGUCUUCUGACCGGUUCACUCGCCGCCGGCAGGCCAGCGUCGUCUGGGGCCGUCGGAGAAAGGCGGGGGGAAUGUGGCUCCCUCGGGAGUGUUAUAGCCCUUCGCACAAUACGACGCGCCCCGGGCGAG
rnacentral:sRNA from 1 species